ACGAACGCUGGCGGCGUGCUUAACACAUGCAAGUCGAACGGAAAGGCCCCUUUGGGGGUACUCGAGUGGCGAACGGGUGAGUAACACGUGAGUAACCUGCCCUUGACUUCGGGAUAACUUCAGGAAACUGGGGCUAAUACCGGAUAGGAAUCCUUGCUGCAUGGUGGGGGUUGGAAAGCUUCGGCGGUUUUGGCUGGACUCGCGGCUUAUCAGCUUGUUGGUGGGGUAGUGGCUUACCAAGGCUUUGACGGGUAGCCGGCCUGAGAGGGCGACCGGCCACAUUGGGACUGAGAUACGGCCCAGACUCCUACGGGAGGCAGCAGUGGGGAAUAUUGCACAAUGGGCGGAAGCCUGAUGCAGCAACGCCGCGUGCGGGAUGACGGCCUUCGGGUUGUAAACCGAUUUCAGCAGGGGCGAAGCUUGUGGUGACGGUACCUGCAGAAGAAGCACCGGCUAACUACGUG
rnacentral:rRNA from 1 species